rnacentral:lncRNA from 1 species
AACAAAUGAUUCCAUUUACUCCACCGUUAUUUUCAAUGAUGGAGCAUUCAAAUCGACGAUCAACACUGUUAAAUAUAAUCUUAACUACUUAAUUUUUCUAGAAUUCGAAUUUUGUAAUCGUAGCAGUAAACUAGUAUAAGUAUAUAAUCAUGUGACUGUUCAACUAAAUAGCUACGCUCAAUAUACUUAUUUUUUAAUGAGCACAUAUAUGCUUACUCUAAUAUUUCUACACUAGUGAUUUAAGAUUUGUUAUCUUAAUUAAAAAAUAUACAAUACACCGACCUAUUCAGAAUAUCACCACUCCUGUCUAAUUAGGAGCGUUAUAAUCUUAUACAAAAAUGUAUAUAAAUAAAAUUUCUAUGUACGAUCCA